rnacentral:rRNA from 1 species
UACGUAGGGGGCGAGCGUUGUCCGGAGUUACUGGGCGUAAAGCGCACGCAGGCGGUCUGUGAAGUUUGGAGUGACAGUUGGUGGCUCAACCACCAAAGUGCUUUGAAAACUGAUAGACUUGAGGGCUUCAGAGGGACACGGAAUUCCGGGUGGAGUGGUGAAAUGCGUAGAGAUCCGGAGGAACACCAAAGGCGAAGGCAGUGUCCUGGGGAGUACCUGACGCUCAGGUGCGAAAGCCAGGGGAGGCCGAACGGG